rnacentral:tRNA from 1 species
ACCGACGAGAUUCGAACUCGUGAUCUCCUGUCUGGUAAACAGGAGAUCACGAGUUCGAAUCUCGUCGGUG